UUAAGCUUGCUAACAUACAUCUCAAUUCUCUCUCUUGUUUAACAAGGUUUUGUGGUUGAAUUUUCUGGUCUGGUGGCUAACGAGUGUAAUUAUGAGAGAGUCUAUUGUGUUUGGAGUAACGUAUAUGCAUACAUGAACAGGUUCCGGGUUGUGCGGCGAGUUCUUCUUUGCGACCCUCUAGCUUUUUGAAACGCAAAUUUGUGCAUUAAGGGCUAACAUGCAUGUUAAUUGGAUGAACGUUGACCUCUUGGAUGUUGCAUGAAGCUACCCGACAUUUGGAGAUGGCAUUUCUAGUCGAAGUCGCUUGUUUAUGAACUCAAUUACCAUACAUUAAAUUUGGUAUUUAAAUUUAGAUGUUUCACAUGUUUCAAAAAUUUGACUUUAAUGUU
rnacentral:lncRNA from 1 species